rnacentral:rRNA from 1 species
ACAGUGUCUGGUGGGUAGUUUGACUGGGGCGGUCUCCUCCUAAAGAGUAACGGAGGAGCACGAAGGUUGGCUAAUCCUGGUCGGACAUCAGGAGGUUAGUGCAAUGGCAUAAGCCAGCUUGACUGCGAGCGUGACGGCGCGAGCAGGUGCGAAAGCAGGUCAUAGUGAUCCGGUGGUUCUGAAUGGAAGGGCCAUCGCUCAACGGAUAAAAGGUACUCCGGGGAUAACAGGCUGAUACCGCCCAAGAGUUCAUAUCGACGGCGGUGUUUGGCACCUCGAUGUCGGCUCAUCACAUCCUGGGGCUGAAGUAGGUCCCAAGGGUAUGGCUGUUCGCCAUUUAAAGUGGUACGCGAGCUGGGUUUAGAACGUCGUGAGACAGUUCGGUCCCUAUCUGCCGUGGGCGCUGGAGAACUGAGGGGGGCUGCUCCUAGUACGAGAGGACCGGAGUGGACGCAUCACUGGUGUUCGGGUUGUCAUGCCAAUGGCACUGCCCGGUAGCUAAAUGCGGAAGAGAUAAGUGCUGAAAGCAUCUAAGCACGAAACUUGCCCCGAGAUGAGUUCUCCCUGACUCCUUGAGAGUCCUGAAGGAACGUUGAA